UGUCUGUCUGUCUGUUACUCUAUAUAAUAAUUCUUCCUCUCUUUUUGCAGAACGGCUCUUGUUACUUUGUCGCAGUGAAAACGAUUUUUUAAACAUAAAUGCAGCCGUUAACACAACUGCAUAUUAGCAAUAAUAAGAAAGAUGAUGAUGAUAAUAAUAAUGAUAAUGAUAAUGAUAAUAACGAAGACAAUGAUAACAGCAACAACGAGAGUUAUUAGAUGUUGCACAGAUCAUGCAGGAAAGGGACGGCCUUGUGAGGACACAGUCAACGGGCGUCGCUGUUGCAGGAACCGAAAUUAAAAAUUAAAAAUGUU